rnacentral:rRNA from 1 species
GGGGGCCCGCACAAGCGGUGGAUCAUGUGGUUUAAUUCGACGCUACGCGAAGAACCUUACCUGGGCUCGAACGACUAGUGGUAGUCCUUAUGAAAGUAGGGGCGACCCGCAAGGGAGCUAGCCGAGGUGCUGCAUGGCUGUCGUCAGCUCGUGUCGUGAGAUGUUGGGUUAAGUCCCGCAACGAGCGCAACCCUUGCCAUUAGUUGCUACGAAAGGGCACUCUAAUGGGACUGCCGGUGACAAACCGGAGGAAGGUGGGGAUGACGUCAAGUCCUCAUGGCCCUUAUAGGUGGGGCUACACACGUCAUACAAUGGCUGGUACAAAGGGUUGCCAACCCGCGAGGGGGAGCUAAUCCCAUAAAGCCAGUCGUAGUCCGGAUCGCAGUCUGCAACUCGACUGCGUGAAGUCGGAAUCGCUAGUAAUCGUGGAUCAGAAUGUCACGGUGAAUACGUUCCCGGGUCUU